rnacentral:rRNA from 1 species
GAUGAACGCUGGCGGCGUGCCUAAUACAUGCAAGUCGAGCGAACAGACGAGGAGCUUGCUCCUCUGACGUUAGCGGCGGACGGGUGAGUAACACGUGGAUAACCUACCUAUAAGACUGGGAUAACUUCGGGAAACCGGAGCUAAUACCGGAUAAUAUAUUGAACCGCAUGGUUCAAUAGUGAAAGACGGUUUUGCUGUCACUUAUAGAUGGAUCCGCGCCGCAUUAGCUAGUUGGUAAGGUAACGGCUUACCAAGGCAACGAUGCGUAGCCGACCUGAGAGGGUGAUCGGCCACACUGGAACUGAGACACGGUCCAGACUCCUACGGGAGGCAGCAGUAGGGAAUCUUCCGCAAUGGGCGAAAGCCUGAUGGAGCAACGCCGCGUGAGUGAUGAAGGUCUUCGGAUCGUAAAACUCUGUUAUUAGGGAAGAACAAAUGUGUAAGUAACUAUGCACGUCUUGACGGUACCUAAUCAGAGAGCCACGGCUAACUACGUG